rnacentral:rRNA from 1 species
UACGUAGGGUGCGAGCGUUAAUCGGAAUUACUGGGCGUAAAGCGUGCGCAGGCGGUUCGCUAAGACCGAUGUGAAAUCCCCGGGCUUAACCUGGGAACUGCAUUGGUGACUGGCGAGCUAGAGUGUGGCAGAGGGGGGUAGAAUUCCACGUGUAGCAGUGAAAUGCGUAGAGAUGUGGAGGAAUACCGAUGGCGAAGGCAGCCCCCUGGGCUAACACUGACGCCCAUGCACGAAAGCGUGGGGAGCAAACAGG